rnacentral:rRNA from 1 species
GCUGGAAUCGCUAGUAAUCGCGGAUCAGAAUGCCGCGGUGAAUACGUUCCCGGGUCUUGUACACACCGCCCGUCACACCAUGGGAGUCGGAAAUGCCCGAAGUCUGUGACCCAACCUCAGGGAGGGAGCAGCCGAAGGCAGGUCGGAUGACUGGGGUGAAGUCGUAACAAGGUAAC